rnacentral:rRNA from 1 species
AUUGAACGCUGGCGGCAUGCCUUACACAUGCAAGUCGAACGGUAACAGGUCUUCGGAUGCUGACGAGUGGCGAACGGGUGAGUAAUGCAUCGGAACGUGCUCAGUAGUGGGGGAUAGCCCGGCGAAAGCCGGAUUAAUACCGCAUACGACAUGAGGGUGAAAGGGGGGGAUCGCAAGACCUCUCGCUAUUGGACCGGCCGAUGUCAGAUUAGCUAGUUGGUGGGGUAAAGGCCUACCAAGGCAACGAUCUGUAGUUGGUCUGAGAGGACGACCAGCCACACUGGGACUGAGACACGGCCCAGACUCCUACGGGAGGCAGCAGUGGGGAAUUUUGGACAAUGGGCGCAAGCCUGAUCCAGCAAUGCCGCGUGCAGGAAGAAGGCCUUCGGGUUGUAAACUGCUUUUGUCAGGGAAGAAAUCUUCUGGGUUAAUACCUCGGGAGGAUGACGGUACCUGAAGAAUAAGCACCGGCUAACUACGUGCCAGCCGCCGCGGUAAGAC